GACGAACGCUGGCGGCGUGCUUAACACAUGCAAGUCGAACGGAAAGGCUCCAGCUUGCUGGCGUACUCGAGUGGCGAACGGGUGAGUAACACGUGGGUAAUCUGCCCUGCACUCUGGGAUAGGCCUGGGAAACUGGGUCUAAUACUGGAUAUGACCUUUCUCCUUAUGGGGUUUGGUGGAAAGUUUUUCGGUGUAGGAUGAGCCCGCGGCCUAUCAGCUUGUUGGUGGGGUGAUGGCCUACCAAGGCGACGACGGGUAGCCGGCCUGAGAGGGUGAUCGGCCACAUUGGGACUGAGAUACGGCCCAGACUCCUACGGGAGGCAGCAGUGGGGAAUAUUGCACAAUGGGCGGAAGCCUGAUGCAGCGACGCCGCGUGAGGGAUGACGGCCUUCGGGUUGUAAACCUCUUUCAGCAGGGACGAAGCGUAAGUGACGGUACCUGCAGAAGAAGCACCGGCUAACUAUGUG
rnacentral:rRNA from 1 species